GAUGAACGCUGGCGGCGUGCCUAACACAUGCAAGUCGUACGAGCUCGAUCUUCGGAACGGGUUAGUGGCGCACGGGUGAGUAACACGUAGGUGACCUACCCCAGAGUGGGGGAUAACUUCUCGAAAGAGAGGCUAAUACCGCAUACACUCGGUCAUUCAUUUGGCCGAGCAAAGCUCCGGCGCUUUGGGACGGGCCUGCGUCCGAUUAGCUAGUUGGUAGGGUAAUGGCUUACCAAGGCUUUGAUCGGUAGCUGGUCUGAGAGGACGAUCAGCCACACUGGCACUGACACACGGGCCAGACUCCUACGGGAGGCAGCAGUGAGGAAUAUUGGGCAAUGGGCGAAAGCCUGACCCAGCAACGCCGCGUGAGGGAUGAAGGCCUUCGGGUUGUAAACCUCUUUCUGGGGAAGAGACAAGGACGGUAUCCCAGGAAUAAGUCUCGGCUAACUACGUGCCAGCAGCCGCGGUAAU
rnacentral:rRNA from 1 species